CUGUUCGCCAUCGGCUUUGACGACGCGUUCUUUUUCUACACGCCACACCAUCCAGGGCUUUUCAGGAACCGUUAACCUCACACAGCACGGAAACAUCACAGAAGACCGGACACACGUUCGUCUCGUCUCUAAACCCUCCUCACCAGCCGUGACCCAGUCCGUGACCUUUAACCUGAGAGCUUCACGUCAGAUUGAGGUUGAGAGUGUGGGAUGUGUCUCUUCCUUCUCCUUUCCAGAGUAAACUGAUGGACGCUGUUUACCAGGUUCACGCCGAGAGCCUGCUCUCCUACGCAGAGAUGAUGGAUUGAGCGUGUGUCCUGGAGAACGUGCAGCUGAAUCUCCAUCCCAUUGAUCCGGAACCUGAUGAUGAUGGACCAAACCACUACGUUUCCCAAGAGGGGCGCGCCGUGCCUGAUUUCACUACACAGACGUGGCACUGUACUUCAUUUCCAGCAUGUUCUUCUGAACGCACAGGAUUUGAAGUGUUAUUGUGUGACGGAGAUUUGCCCGCCUCACCUCUGCUUCCCAUGAUGCUGUGCUCAGAGUGUUGUAGACUCCCUGACUUUACGCAAAUUAUGUCCUACAAAGAAUGCUUAUAUCUGUAUUACAUAUACUCUGCACUAUCAUUUGUGAUUAUUACUUCGAGUCAAUGUCUCCUCAACUUGCUCAGCGACAGCAAAACUCAAGACGUGAAAAGAAGAGAGAAGAGAAAGAAGACAAAGGAGAAUCAAAUCCGUCCUUCUUCUUCUUCCCAGACCGGCCGACCGGCGGGAGAACCAGAUUGUAGCCGUGCUAGGCAAAGGCAAGCUGAUAUCCAACGCCUAGCAAAUGCACACAAACUUUUACACACAAUUGAAGAACACGUUGAAGACAUUGAACAAAGUGAAGUAAAUAUGUUAAGGUUGAAUGCCAAUCUGAAGGAGAUGAGAAAAGAGGCAAGUAAGAAACAUGAUAAAGUUGAUAGGCGCAUGAGAGCGCACAAAAGGGCGAUUUACCGCCACUAUGGAGCACUGGAGGCAGAACAAAUCUUCCUUGCUGCUCAAUCUAAUCUACUGUAGAUAAUCCAGGUAAAUCUAUCCAUGAAGAGAUAGAAGAAUCCUGUGUUAAAUUACUUGGCCUUGAAAUCUCAACCCUGAAGGAUCACUCAGACCCAUUUAAUCCUCACCUCAGUGAGAGAACAGGAUGUCUCUAAAAAAGGGUCAUGUAAAGUUCAUGUAUCCGGUGUGUGUGUGUGUAUGUUAAAGCUUUUACCCUCAGUGCACUGCAGUAGAGAAGUGCCACUGCUCUACCUAAGGAGUGCACAAGCACAAAUGUAUUUACUCUGCUACUAUUCCGCCUUAUGAAGCGUGCAUUUUACUAGGUUUUAUGAUGUGCCCUCUAAUGUAUUCAAAAGGUUACCUGCCAGUGCACUUCACUUUGUUUAUAAGAUACACUCACCAUAUGAGUAUAAAUACUGCCUGUCUGUUCAUUAUAACUUCGCCACAUCUCGGGUGAAGAUCUCUUCGUUGUUGAUUUCUUGUUCCAGAACAUCCUUAGUGAUUGUUAAUUAUUAUCUUUUACCUAGAUGUAUCACUGUAUGCUACUUUUCUUUUAUUCCUUAUUUGAUACAAAGAUAAUUGUAAGACUCCAGUUUAUUCAAUAAAACGAAGCCCAUAUCUUGGGUGAUUCAAGAACUUUAA